UGUCUGGGAAACUGCCCGAUGGAGGGGGAUAACUACUGGAAACGGUAGCUAAUACCGCAUAACGUCUUCGGACCAAAGUGGGGGACCUUCGGGCCUCACACCAUCGGAUGUGCCCAGAUGGGAUUAGCUAGUAGGUGGGGUAAUGGCUCACCUAGGCGACGAUCCCUAGCUGGUCUGAGAGGAUGACCAGCCACACUGGAACUGAGACACGGUCCAGACUCCUACGGGAGGCAGCAGUGGGGAAUAUUGCACAAUGGGCGCAAGCCUGAUGCAGCCAUGCCGCGUGUAUGAAGAAGGCCUUCGGGUUGUAAAGUACUUUCAGCGGGGAGGAAGGCGAUGAGGUUAAUAACCUUAUCGAUUGACGUUACCCGCAGAAGAAGCACCGGCUAACUCCGUGCCAGCAGCCGCGGUAAUACGGAGGGUGCAACCGUUAAUCGGAAUUACUGGGCGUAAAGCGCACGCAGGCGGUCUGUCAAGUCAGAUGUGAAAUCCCCGGGCUUAACCUGGGAACUGCAUUUGAAACUGGCAGGCUUGAGUCUCGUAGAGGGGGGUAGAAUUCCAGGUGUAGCGGUGAAAUGCGUAGAGAUCUGGAGGAAUACCGGUGGCGAAGGCGGCCCCCUGGACGAAGACUGACGCUCAGGUGCGAAAGCGUGGGGAGCAAACAGGAUUAGAUACCCUGGUAGUCCACGCUGUAAACGAUGUCGACUUGGAGGUUGUGCCCUUGAGGCGUGGCUUCCGGAGCUAACGCGUUAAGUCGACCGCCUGGGGAGUACGGCCGCAAGGUUAAAACUCAAAUGAAUUGACGGGGGCCCGCACAAGCGGUGGAGCAUGUGGUUUAAUUCGAUGCAACGCGAAGAACCUUACCUGGCCUUGACAUCCACAGAACUUUCCAGAGAUGGAUUGGUGCCUUCGGGAACUGUGAGACAGGUGCUGCAUGGCUGUCGUCAGCUCGUGUUGUGAAAUGUUGGGUUAAGUCCCGCAACGAGCGCAACCCUUAUCCUUUGUUGCCAGCGAUUCGGUCGGGAACUCAAAGGAGACUGCCGGUGAUAAACCGGAGGAAGGUGGGGAUGACGUCAAGUCAUCAUGGCCCUUACGGCCAGGGCUACACACGUGCUACAAUGGCGCAUACAAAGAGAAGCGACCUCGCGAGAGCAAGCGGACCUCAUAAAGUGCGUCGUAGUCCGGAUCGGAGUCUGCAACUCGACUCCGUGAAGUCGGAAUCGCUAGUAAUCGUAGAUCAGAA
rnacentral:rRNA from 1 species